rnacentral:rRNA from 1 species
GUCGAACGCUGGCGGCGUGCUUAACACAUGCAAGUCGAACGGAAAGGCCCUGCUUUUGUGGGGUGCUCGAGUGGCGAACGGGUGAGUAACACGUGAGUAACCUGCCCUUGACUUUGGGAUAACUUCAGGAAACUGGGGCUAAUACCGGAUAGGAGCUCCUGCUGCAUGGUGGGGGUUGGAAAGUUUCGGCGGUUGGGGAUGGACUCGCGGCUUAUCAGCUUGUUGGUGGGGUAGUGGCUUACCAAGGCUUUGACGGGUAGCCGGCCUGAGAGGGUGACCGGCCAAAUUGGGACUGAGAUACGGCCCAGACUCCUACGGGAGGCAGGAGUGGGGAAUAUUGCAAAAUGGGCGGAAGCCUGAUGCAGCAACGCCGCGUGCGGGAUGAAGGCCUUUGGGGUGGAAACCGCUUUCGCCUGGGAAGAAGCGGGAGGGAAGGUAAUGGGGAAAGAAGCACCGGCUAACUACGUG